rnacentral:rRNA from 1 species
AUUGAACGCUGGCGGCAUGCCUUACACAUGCAAGUCGAACGGUAACAGGUCUUCGGAUGCUGCCGAGUGGCGAACGGGUGCGUAAUACAUCGGAACGUGCCCGAUCGUGGGGGAUAACGAAGCGAAAGCUUUGCUAAUACCGCAUACGAUCUACGGAUGAAAGCAGGGGACCGCAAGGCCUUGCGCGAACGGAGCGGCCGAUGGCAGAUUAGGUAGUUGGUGGGAUAAAAGCUUACCAAGCCGACGAUCUGUAGCUGGUCUGAGAGGACGACCAGCCACACUGGGACUGAGACACGGCCCAGACUCCUACGGGAGGCAGCAGUGGGGAAUUUUGGACAAUGGGCGAAAGCCUGAUCCAGCCAUGCCGCGUGCAGGAUGAAGGCCUUCGGGUUGUAAACUGCUUUUGUACGGAACGAAAAGACUCUGGUUAAUACCUGGGGUCCAUGACGGUACCGUAAGAAUAAGCACCGGCUAACUACGUG